GAGCCUGAGCAGGAGAUGAAUGUCCCAAGCCUGCUGCAGAUCCUGGGCCCAGCUGAGGAGCACCCUGGCCCCGGAGGAAGCUGAGAGUGGCGAGGAGCGCACGGGAAUGCCGACAGCCCAAUACCCCGCUGCGAUGGAGGACCCCAUGCCUACGGAACCCCCCUCCCAGACGCCGUACUAGAGUUGAUCGCCAAAGCCAUCCUGACUGCCGACCUGGCUAAGUGUCAGCUGGUCGGGGGGCAGGGGACAGGUCACCCGACUCCCAAAGCCACAGGGGGAUGCCCAUCCAGGAGAUCUUCACCCCCAGCCCUACGGGGAAUGCAGCGAACUCCCAGGGCAGUGACCCAGCCAGAAGUACUCCUAGAACAGUGUCAUGCAGACAGCCCUGGAGUAAGACAGCACUGCUGGGCUCUUCCAUGUGACGUGGCCCCGGGAAGAAGUUAUUCUCGGGGGUGCUGGAAUGUUUAUUUUCCUUUUGAUUCCUUCAGUGGAAGAGACCCAAGAAGAGCCGCAAAGGGCAGGGUUCCUCUUGCAAGGACUAAGAAACAGGCACCGGAACAUAAGACAGACAACUGGGCGUGGCCAGGGACUCCCACCAUUGGGGAGAAAAAUUAGGGGGCUCUUACAGGGGGUGAAACAACUCUUUGUUCCAGGACCCAGCGGCUGCGACCGUUCUGGGCAGUUGUGAGCUAGGAGCCUGAACCUGCUCAGAUUUUAUCGUCCUCUCCUUCCCCUGCUCAUAAUGGCAUGAUCCAUGGUGGAGAAUUUAAGCCCUGAAGUGUGUGUUUCUCUGAAAUGUAAAUCUCGAUUGGCCAAGCCAGCACUCCCCAUCCCCUGUCCCUCUUCCUCCCCGUUGGCCCCACCCCCACAUACUCAAAAUGGCACUGGUAGACUGUGACCUAUGCAGUGUUUAUUUCUCUGAAAUAUCAAAAACUUCCCUCUCCCACCUGUGCAACCGCUGCUCCCCACCCCGGCUGACACACCACUGGGGUUAAAAAUCUAAUGCAUUGUAAUGCAGGCUUGUUUAUUGAAACAGCAAAUGUGGAAAGAGAGAAAUAAAACGGCCCUUUGCUUCUGCCUUUGAAGGAUGCUCUGAGCUUUCCACAACUGUAGCGUUUGAUGAAGUAUAUCUCCCAAAGUGAGACAGUUCAAAAUUCAUAGAGAUGACAGGGCACUGGGCUAGCUCAGAUUCGCUGCAUUGUUAACCCCUUGGUUCAGAAUAAUUCCUGCAGAAGUCUUUAUUUUGCAGUGCAUUUUGUGCUGG